UUUGCUUCCCAGCCUUUUGGCUAAAAUCAAGUAUAGGUAUUUGUUCUUAUCACUUUAACAUCUGAUACAUUCUCUAUCUGAGGACACCAUAUUAAAUACAUUUUUGGAGCAGGGAGAUGGAAUAGAAGCUUGCUCCAUCCACACCGUACAUCAGCCCAGUAUUGCAGUACCUCUGAGGACCAGUCAUCUCUCC